GUCUGGGAUAGCUCAGCUGGUAGAGCAUGAGGCUCUUAAACUCAGGGUCAUGGGUUCAAGUUCCACGUUGGGCA